ACCCAACAAGGACCCCCUGCAAACACUGGUGACUCUCUGCCCUAGUGACUGGUCCAAACAAGACAGGAAGAGGAAGAGUCCAGGGCCCCAUGGAGUAGCUGUCGAUAAAUGACACCAAGAAGUUUUCUCUUCUGAAAAUUUACGGGAUUGGAUUAUUUGAUCCGAGGGCUCUUCUGGGCUCCCAAUCCCCAUGAAUCCAUGGAAGAAGAUGAAGUGCAUGGCACCUCUUUAAAGCUGCUGCUCCGCACCCCAUAAAAGGUAAAGAGGAUGGCCUGCCAAGGAGAAGAGGAGGAGAAAAGGCAGUUUUGGCUGGCAUGGAUGGCUUCACGCUCUCUGGACCUGGCAAAGUGAAAGCAGUAGCUCUUUCCUUGUAGAUGCUUUGAAAGUUGUUUGGAAGAGUCUCUGCUGGCCCCUCCAACUACAGCUUUUCUGAUGUGGACACACAUUGUCUUCAGCUGGCUGCUUCCCCCACCCCAGAUCCUCAAAGAUGAGGUCCACAUCUAUUAUACCACGUGAAUCCAAAAGCACUCCCAAACAGUCCAUUUGAGCAGGACUUGAAUGGCUCCAGCUUGGCUCUGUCACCACCUGGUCUAUGAAACAUGGCCUUUUACAUCUUCCUCCUCUGGUUACUUGCCAAGCACUGUAGUCUGCUCUCUCUGGCCCAUCACAGGUUGCUAUAGUUUUCCUGAGGAGAUAGUAUGUCUGGGUCCUUGGUGUUUACCAACUGCAGGGAAUGUAACUGAAGUAUUGUGAGUUCUCGCAUUGAAACAAGCUCUCCGAGCAUGAGAAAGACAUAGCACCCUCACCCAUUCACUCAUGACCGGGAAAGGAUUGCAACUGACACUUAAGUGAAACUCUUCACAAAUAAAAACCCCAUCAUUUUUUCUCUCCAUUUUCUUAAA